ensembl:lncRNA
UGAGAACGUCUUCUCAGUCAAUUUACCUGGUAAAAUAACGGAUUAAAAAAAUACCUAACUAGGCUACACAGACCAAUGGCGGAGCCACUAAAAGAGAUUCAUUACAGGGCUCCGGAGUGGCGCCUCGGUGCAAGAGGCGUCCCUACAGUCCCUGGUUCGAAUACAGGCUGUAUGACAUCCGGCCGUGAUUGGGAGUCCCAUAGGGCGGCGCACAAUUGGCCCAGCGUCGUCCGGGGUUUUACGGUCAUUGUAAAUAAGAAUUUGGUUAAAUACAAUUACUCAAAAUGACGGCGCCGAAGCAGACACGACUUUUCACAGGGAAAUAGGCUAAUGUUGGUUGAUGAUUCGGACACGCACUUUGAAAAGCGAUGAUGUCGAGAUUGUUCGGGACUUCUCUAUUUGAACCCCGGACUGCUCGGUGAACCUCACUGAACUGGAUCGGGGUCUUCAAGGACCAAAAACUUUGCUUUGCCAGCUGACGAGCAGGCCCAAGAUCUUCUCUUCAAAGUGCAGAUGCACAAGGUGACAUCGUUUUAAGACUUCUGCCAGUGGUCCUCCCACACCAGUCUACAAGAUUGGCAGGAAGACAUUCCGACCCAGCUUCUAAGAGACCAGAAAGUCCUUCAUUGACUUGCAGCCUGUAAAUUUAAAUAGUCGAUAGGGAGAUGGAUGGGGAAAUUAGAUUAUAGCGUUUGUAAGCCUUGAAUGAACAGAACACCAUUCCAAUAUCUGUUAUGCAGAACGGCACACUCCAAGACAUUGUUGUGUAAAUUAACCUAUAGAUACUGUAGGCAGGCCCCUGAGUAUGGUACAGCCCAUUGCGCAUAUGUUAAAUUGCCUACUUAUAACAUGACAACGGCUGUAUUCAUUUUUACAUUUUUAUUAAUUCUAUAAACAUUUUGUAUGUGCUUGGUUGGUCACUUUUAACAUACUUCCAUGGUGUCUUAAUUAAAUACACUUUCAUCUAAAUGUAAAAUGUUAGCAUGAACAGAUACACUGUCGCAUGGAAGGUACGUCAUGAUUAUCAGCC